rnacentral:rRNA from 1 species
CCUACGGGAGGCAGCAGUGAGGAAUAUUGGUCAAUGGACUUACGCCUGAACCAGCCAAGUCGCGUGAGGGAAGACUGCCCUAUGGGUUGUAAACCUCUUUUGUCAGGGAGCAACGCCGGCUACGUGUAGCCGGACUGAGAGUACCUGAAGAAAAAGCAUCGGCUAACUCCGUGCCAGCAGCCGCGGUAAUACGGAGGAUGCGAGCGUUAUCCGGAUUUAUUGGGUUUAAAGGGUGCGUAGGCGGAAUGCCAAGUCAGCGGUAAAAUCGCGGGGCUCAACCUCGCUCCGCCGUUGAAACUGGCGGUCUUGAGUGGGCGAGAAGUAUGCGGAAGGCGUGGUGUAGCGGUGAAAUGCAUAGAUAUCACGCAGAACUCCGAUUGCGAAGGCAGCAUACCGGCGCCCAACUGACGCUGAAGCACGAAAGCGUGGGUAUCGAACAGGAUUAGAUACCCGUGUAGUC